rnacentral:rRNA from 1 species
AUUGAACGCUGGCGGCAUGCUUUACACAUGCAAGUCGAACGGUAACAGGGUGCUUGCACCGCUGACGAGUGGCGAACGGGUGAGUAAUGCGUCGGAACGUGCCGAGUAGUGGGGGAUAACGCAGCGAAAGUUGUGCUAAUACCGCAUACGUACUGAGGUAGAAAGUGGGGGACCUUUGGGCCUCACGCUAUUCGAGCGGCCGACGUCUGAUUAGCUAGUAGGUGAGGUAAAGGCUCACCUAGGCGACGAUCAGUAGCGGGUCUGAGAGGAUGAUCCGCCACACUGGGACUGAGACACGGCCCAGACUCCUACGGGAGGCAGCAGUGGGGAAUUUUGGACAAUGGGCGAAAGCCUGAUCCAGCCAUGCCGCGUGUGUGAAGAAGGCCUUUUGGUUGUAAAGCACUUUAAGCGAGGAGGAGGCUACCUGGAUUAAUACUCUAGGAUAGUGGACGUUACUCGCAGAAUAAGCACCGGCUAACUCUGUGCCAGCCGCCGCCGUAAAAC